UUUAGCAGGUCUAUAGUAUAAUGUGUUUUUAUGCUGGAUGUGAGUAAUUUAGCAGGUCUAUAGUAUAAUGUGUUUUUAUGCUGGAUGUGAGUAAUUUAGCAGGUCUAUAGUAUAAUGUGUUUUUAUGCUGGAUGUGAGUAAUUUAGCAGGUCUAUAGUAUCAUGUGUUUUUAUGCUGGAUGUGAGUAAUUUAGCAGGUUUAUAGUAUAAUGUGUUUUUAUGCUGGAUGUGAGUAAUUUAGCAGGACUAUAGUAUAAUGUGUUUUUAUGCUGGAUGUGAGUAAUUUAGCAGGUCUAUAGUAUAAUGUGUUUUUAUGCUGGAUGUGAGUAAUUUAGCAGGUCUAUAGUAUAAUGUGUUUUUAUGCUGGAUGUGAGUAAUUUAGCAGGUCUAUAGUAUAAUGUGUUUUUAGGCUGGAUGUGAGUAAUUUAGCAGGUCUAUAGUAUAAUGUGUUUUUAUGCUGGAUGUGAGUAAUUUAGCAGGUCUAUGGUAUAAUGUGUUUUUAUGCUGGAUGUGAGUAAUUUAGCAGGUCUAUAGUAUAAUGUGUUUUUAUGCUGGAUGUGAGUUAUUUAGCAGGUCUAUGGUAUAAUGUGUUUUUAUGCUGGAUGUAAUUUAGCAGGUCUAUAGUAUAAUGUGUUUUUAUGCUGGAUGUGAGUAAUUUAGCAGGUCUAUAGUAUAAUGUGUUUUUAUGCUGGAUGUGAGUAAUUUAGCAGGUCUAUAGUAUAAUGUGUUUUUAUGCUGGAUGUGAGUAAUUUAGCAGGUCUAUAGUAUAAUGUGUUUUUAUGCUGGAUGUGAGUAAUUUAGCAGGUCUAUAGUAUAAUGUGUUUUUAUGCUGGAUGUGAGUAAUUUAGCAGGUCUAUAGUAUAAUGUGUUUUUAUGCUGGAUGUGAGUAAUUUAGCAGGUCUAUAGUAUAAUGUGUUUUUAUGCUGGAUGUGAGUAAUUUAGCAGGUCUAUAGUAUCAUGUGUUUUUAUGCUGGAUGUGAGUAAUUUAGCAGGUCUAUAGUAUAAUGUGUUUUUAUGCUGGAUGUGAGUAAUUUAGCAGGUCUAUAGUAUAAUGUGUUUUUAUGCUGGAUGUGAGUAAUUUAGCAGGUCUAUAGUAUAAUGUGUUUUUAUGCUGGAUGUGAGUAAUUUAGCAGGUC